AUACUCUGGUGUCUCUUCAGAUCAAACAAGUCUUUCACCUUUUGCUAAAGAUUUCUGUGGAGAGGAAUAGUCAAGAGUUUUAAUACAAUUUUUGAAGUCAUGUUAAUGAGGCU